rnacentral:tRNA from 1 species
AGCAGCGUGGCUCGGUGGAAAGAGCUUGGGCUUGGGAGUCAGAGGUCAUGGGUUCGAAUCCCAGCUCUGCCA